GCCACGGUGGUCUGGCGGUUAGAACGCUGGUCUUGUAAUCCUGGGGUCUCGGGUUCGAUUCCCGGCGGUGCCC
rnacentral:tRNA from 1 species